AGUAAAUAGAUACCCGGGUAGUCCACGCCGUAAACGAUGAGUACUAGGUGUAGGAGGUAUCGACUCCUUCUGUGCCGCAGUUAAACACAAUAAGUACUCCGCCUGGGAAGUACGGUCGCAAGAUUAAAACUCAAAGGAAUUGACGGGGGCCCGCACAAGCAGCGGAGCAUGUGGUUUAAAUUCGAAGCAACGCGAAGAACCUUACCUAGACUUGACAUCUCCUGAAUAGUGUAGAGAUACAUGAAGCCCUUCGGGGCAGGAAGACAGGUGGUGCAUGGUUGUCGUCAGCUCGUGUCGUGAGAUGUUGGGUUAAGUCCCGCAA
rnacentral:rRNA from 1 species